rnacentral:rRNA from 1 species
AACGCUGGCGGCAGGCCUAACACAUGCAAGUCGAACGGUAACAGGAUUAGCUUGCUAAUCGCUGACGAGUGGCGGACGGGUGAGUAAUGCUUGGGAACUUGCCUUCAGGAGGGGGAUAACAGUUGGAAACGACUGCUAAUACCGCAUAAUGUCUUUGGACCAAAGCGGGCNUUCGGCUCGCACCUGAAGAGAGGCCCAAGUGAGAUUAGCUAGUUGGUAAGGUAAAGGCUUACCAAGGCGACGAUCUCUAGCUGUUCUGAGAGGAAGAUCAGCCACACUGGGACUGAGACACGGCCCAGACUCCUACGGGAGGCAGCAGUGGGGAAUAUUGCACAAUGGGGGAAACCCUGAUGCAGCCAUGCCGCGUGUGUGAAGAAGGCCUUCGGGUUGUAAAGCACUUUCAGUUGUGAGGAAAGGUUGGUAGUUAAUACCUGCCAGCUGUGACGUUAACAACAGAAGAAGCACCGGCUAACUCCGUGCCAGCAGCCGCGGUAAUACGGAGGGUGCGAGCGUUAAUCGGAAUUACUGGGCGUAAAGCGCACGCAGGCGGUUUGUUAAGCUAGAUGUGAAAGCCCCGGGCUCAACCUGGGAUGGUCAUUUAGAACUGGCAGACUAGAGUCUUGGAGAGGGGAGUGGAAUUCCAGGUGUAGCGGUGAAAUGCGUAGAUAUCUGGAGGAACAUCAGUGGCGAAGGCGGCUCCCUGGCCAAAGACUGACGCUCAUGUGCGAAAGUGUGGGUAGCGAACAGGAUU